AUCUGUUGGAGUUGUGGUUAGUGCGCUCGGCUGUCAAACAGGGCUACGUGGGUUCGAAUCCCCUACCAGAUG